GACGAACGCUGGCGGCGUGCCUAAUACAUGCAAGUAGGACGCAGUUGCGAACGGGUGAGUAACGCGUAGGUAACUACCUAUUAGAGGGGGAUAACUAUUGGACACGAUAGCUAAUACCGCCUACUAGUAGAUGGACCUGCGUUGUAUUAGCUAGUAGGUAGGGUAAUGGCCUACCUAGGACACGAUACAUAGCCGACCUGAGAGGGUGAGCGGCCAAACUGGUACUGAGACACGGCCCAGACACCUACGGGUGGCAACAGGAGGGAAGCUUCCGCAAUGGGGGGAACCCUGAACGAGCAACGCCGCGUGAGUGAAGAAGGUUUUCGGAUCGUAAAGCGCCGUUGUUAAGGAAGCGGUACUUAACCAGAAAGGGACGGCUAACUACGUGCGAGCAGCCGCGGUAACAC
rnacentral:rRNA from 1 species